rnacentral:rRNA from 1 species
UACGGGGGGGAGCAAGCGUUGUUCGGAUUUACUGGGCGUAAAGGGCGCGUAGGCGGCCACCGCAAGUCGACUGUGAAAUCUCCGGGCUUAACCCGGAAAGGUCAGCCGAUACUGCGGGGCUAGAGUGCAGAAGGGGCAACUGGAAUUCUCGGUGUAGCGGUGAAAUGCGUAGAUAUCGAGAGGAACACCUGCGGCGAAGGCAGGUCUCUGGGCAUUAACUGACGCUGAGGAGCGAAAGCAUGGGGAGCGAACAGG